AUGGAGGCGCUGCUGGAGCUAGAGAAGGUGCAGAGAGUGCUCUCCCUCAUGGGCUCCCGCGGCCUCUCCGACUCCGACGGCAGCGGCGGCGGGGACCGCUUCCUCGCCCACUUCCUCCUCUUCCUGGCACAACCGUUUGAUUCACUUGCCAUUGAGAAGAAGGUCGUAUUAAUCUCUGAGCUUUUGAGAGAGGUUAAUUCUGAUAAUCUCAAAGAAGUGCAACGUCUAGCCAGUCUGGAAGGUACUAAUAGGGAAGAUGAACCAACUAAGAAGUUCAAGACGGAUGCCGAGAAAUUAACCAUUCAGGAUGCGCCUAUGAUUGGAUUCGAUGCAAUGAUGAGAGCCAAUUCCACGCUUGAAGAUUUUUGCAGGUCAUACUUCAUAUUUCAUGGUUUGGAUGUUAACAGACCACACUCUGUUUUCAAGUUUCUUCCUUUCCUUUCUUUUACAGAGAGCUACAUAUACCAGUUAGAUGCUUCAAAUGAAGACAGUUUGCUAUUAGUUCCAGACAACAACUCUUCUUCAACAGUAUUGGAAAGGAAAAUACAAGGUUCUAGUCAGAUGUCCUUGUCUGACAUGCUUGACCCCCUUGAUAAUCUUCUUCAAUGCCAGGGGUUAAUGACAGAUCAAUUGCGAAAUGAACUCAAAUCUGGCAUCCAGUAUUGGUCUCUAGAGAGGAAGCUUUGUCAAGCAUUAUCAAGAAAUGAUAAGAUAUCUAUCGAAGAUGUUAUGGAAGCAAUCCAUCUCAAAUCAUUUGACUAUCGAGUUCUUAAUCUGAUGAUGUAUCGGCUUACUGGUCAGCAGGUCAAUGACUUGCACAUGGAGUUCUUGUCUGUCUCGGAAUUUUUAGUUGAGAUAUGUGAUGACCUGUAUGAUUAUGAGGAUGAUGUGGUUAACAAUACUUUUAACAUCCUCCGCAUGUUUGCUGCGAUAUAUGGACCUUUAGAUGCACCAAAGAUGUUGGCCAAGUGCAUCGGUGAAGCUGAGGGAAAAUAUGAGAGCUUCUCAAAGAAAUUGGACCCUAGCAUCUCAAGAAGUUACUGGAGAAGAUGUGAGGAGGCUACAAAGGAAGGUGGAAAAAUAUCAGGCCAUGCGUAUGGCACAUGGAAUAUCCCUCCUUUGAUAGGAGAUGAAGAAUCAUUUCGCUUUGACAGAUUGAACAGAGGUGAUGCUUCUGCCAUGGCCAUCAGAUGA
rnacentral:rRNA from 1 species